rnacentral:rRNA from 1 species
AGUGAACGCUGGCGGUAGGCCUAACACAUGCAAGUCGAACGGCAGCACAGUAAGAGCUUGCUCUUACGGGUGGCGAGUGGCGGACGGGUGAGGAAUACAUCGGAAUCUACUUUUUCGUGGGGGAUAACGUAGGGAAACUUACGCUAAUACCGCAUACGACCUACGGGUGAAAGCAGGGGAUCUUCGGACCUUGCGCGAUUGAAUGAGCCGAUGUCGGAUUAGCUAGUUGGCGGGGUAAAGGCCCACCAAGGCGACGAUCCGUAGCUGGUCUGAGAGGAUGAUCAGCCACAUUGGAACUGAGACACGGUCCAGACCCCUACGGGAGGCAGCAGUGGGGAAUAUUGGACAAUGGGCGCAAGCCUGAUCCAGCCAUACCGCGGGGGUGAAGAAGGCCUUCGGGUUGUAAAGCCCUUUUGUUGGGAAAAAAAAGCAGCAGGUUAAUACCCCGCUGUUCUGACGGUACCCAAAGAAUAAGCACCGGCUAACUUCGU